CCUGUGUGCACAUCUCUCCAUCACUGGGACUCCAGCACCGAGCACACUGUCAGCUCAUCACUGGGAUUUCCCGAGUACACUGUCAGCUCAUACUGGGACUCCCUAAGUACACUGCCAGCUCAUCACUGGGACUGCCACCUGUAACCUGUGUACACUGUCAGCUAAUCACUGGGGCAUUGGCACUUUGUGUGCACUUUUCUGUAUUGAUCAAAAAAGACUUCAAGCAUCCUGUGUGCACAUAACCCAG